GGCCUCGUAGCUCAGAUGGUACAGCGUGCGUUGUACCAAAGCGUAGGCGGCGUCCAUGCGUGGGUUUGAAUCCCACCGUGCCUA
rnacentral:tRNA from 1 species